AGGUUUCCGCCUCUUAGUGCCGAAGCUAACGCAUUAAGUAUUCCGCCUGGGGAGUACGACCGCAAGGUUGAAACUCAAAGGAAUUGACGGGGACCCGCACAAGCGGUGGAGCAUGUGGUUUAAUUCRAAGCAACGCGAAGAACCUUACCAGGUCUUGACAUCCUUUGAAGCUUUUAGAGAUAGAAGUGUUCUCUUCGGAGACAAAGUGACAGGUGGUGCAUGGUCGUCGUCAGCUCGUGUCGUGAGAUGUUGGGUUAAGUCCCGCAACGAGCGCAACCCUUAUUGUUAGUUGCCAGCAUUCAGUUGGGCACUCUAGCGAGACUGCCGGUGACAAACCGGAGGAAGGCGGGGACGACGUCAGAUCAUCAUGCCCCUUAUGACCUGGGCUACACACGUGCUACAAUGGCGUAUACAACGAGUUGCCAACCUGCGAAGGUGAGCUAAUCUCUUAAAGUACGUCUCAGUUCGGACUGCAGUCUGCAACUCGACUGCACGAAGUCGGAAUCGCUAGUAAUCGCGGAUCAGCACGCCGCGGUGAAUACGUUCCCGGGUCUUGUACACACCGCCCGUCACACCAUGGGAGUUUGUAAUGCCCAAAGCCGGUGGCC
rnacentral:rRNA from 1 species